GAUGAACGCUGGCGGCGUGCCUAAUACAUGCAAGUCGAGCGAACGGACGAGAAGCUUGCUUCUCUGAUGUUAGCGGCGGACGGGUGAGUAACACGUGGAUAACCUACCUAUAAUACUGGGAUAACUUCGUGAAACCGGAGCUAAUACCGGAUGAUACUUUGAACCGCAUGGUUCAAAAGUUAAAGACGGUCUUGCUGUCACUUAUAGAUGGAUCCGCGCUGCAUUAGCUAGUUGGUAAGGUAACGGCUUACCAAGGCAACGAUGCAUAGCCGACCUGAGAGGGUGAUCGGCCACACUGGAACUGAGACACGGUCCAGACUCCUACGGGAGGCAGCAGUAGGGAAUCUUCCGCAAUGGGCGCAAGCCUGACGGAGCAACGCCGCGUGAGUGAUGAAGGUCUUCGGAUCGUAAAACUCUGUUAUUAGGGAAGAACAUAUGUGUAAGUAACUGUGCACAUCUUGACGGUACCUAAUCAGAAAGCCACGGCUAACUACGUG
rnacentral:rRNA from 1 species